AGCCCUUUUCGUAUGAUCAUGUUUGCUGAAGCCAAACUUUGUUCCAGCAAGUUAGGUUUCCACGUGUAAUAAAUUCUAUUCCAUGUUUGCGUCCUUCUAGUUUAUGGUCGUCAGUGGAUCUUUGUCUUCGCACUCUCACAUUUUCGUCUAGGAUCGAUGCUGUUCUUGUUGUAAUAAUAAUAUUGAUUUGUAUUUUUUAUUUUUUAUUUUUUAUUUUUUAUAUGUAUUGAUUGGUUAUCAAUCAAAUUUGAUAUUAAAUAAUAACUUGCUCUGCAC
rnacentral:lncRNA from 1 species